rnacentral:rRNA from 1 species
GACGUAGGGUGCAAGCGUUGUCCGGAUUUAUUGGGCGUAAAGAGCUCGUAGGCGGCUUGUUGCGUCGACUGUGAAAACCCGCGGCUUAACCGCGGGCUUGCAGUUGAUACGGGCAGGCUAGAGUUCGGUAGGGGAGACUGGAACUCCUGGUGUAGCGGUGAAAUGCGCAGAUAUCAGGAGGAACACCGGUGGCGAAGGCGGGUCUCUGGGCCGAUACUGACGCUGAGGAGCGAAAGCGUGGGGAGCGAACAGG